rnacentral:rRNA from 1 species
AUACGGAGGGUGCAAGCGUUAUUCGGAAUCACUGGGCGUAAAGGGUGCGUAGGCGGUUUGAUAAGUCUGACGUGAAAUCCUAUGGCUCAACCAUAGAACUGCAUUGGAAACUGUCAGACUAGAAUACUGAAGGGGCAGAUGGAAUUAGUGGUGUAGGGGUAAAAUCCGUAGAUAUCACUAGGAAUACCGAAAGCGAAAGCGAUCUGCUGGGAAGUUAUUGACGCUGAGGCACGAAAGCGUGGGGAGCAAACGGGAUUAGAAACCCUAGUAGUCC